rnacentral:lncRNA from 1 species
ACUGAGUGCCAGGGGUGGGAGGGUUAUGAUUUGUUAUGAGUCUCUCAUUCCCAAUAUGGAACCCAAGUCACCUCUAGACAGACAAUCGUUUUUCUUAUACUUUUGCCUCAUGGAUUUCAAACUAUGCUUCAGGAGAGAGGAAGGAUUCUGAGGCUAGGAAUGAAGUGGCUCUAAUAAUGUGUCGUCUCAAGGAGCUGAAUCAGAAUCCAAAGAGAAGAAGGCUGCCCUCUACACAGUCUCAGAUUCUUAUCCUUGGCUCCCCUGCUUAGAACAUCAAACUGACCUCUGGACUCUGAUAAAUGUAUGAAGAGAGAAGUGGAGCCAACGGGUGGUAAAUUCCAAAGGCCCACAUAGCAUGUCGAAGAAAAUAUAUUUGUUGGCUACAGCUGGCCCCUACGCCACCAGCUGUACAUACGUUAUGGGAGUGAAAUAAUCUGAGAUGGCUCUGCUCCUGGGCCUGCCAUAACAUCUUCAAUCUACCAUCUCUCCCCACCCCUACACGAGGACCAAAUAUGACUACCCAAGCACAAAAGCGGCCAUCAAAGAGACUCAUGCUUCUCUGGGAACAAGCAGCUCAUCGACAUCUAGGAAAUACGACAAAACCCUGGGGUCUACCUAAGUUGGCUGAAUAAUGGAAAGCCAGUUCCUGC